AAGGAGAGAGAUGGUUUCUUCUUGAUUGAGUUGACUCUUGUGUGUUUGUCAGGCUUCACUCGUCCUAAAGUGAGCGUCCUGCCGCCCUCCAGUGCAGAGAUCUCCUCAAAGAAGACAGCGACACUGGUGUGUGUGGCCAGCGAGGGCUUCCCGUCAGACUGGAGCCUGAGCUGGAAGGUGGACGGGAGCAGCAGGUCUCAGGAGAGCAGCGCUGGGCUCCUGGAGAAGGACGGUCUGUACAGCUGGAGCAGCCUGACUCUCUCUGAGCAGGAGUGGAUGGAGAGCGUCUCAGUGAGCUGUGAGGCCACACGGAGCGGCCAGCCUGCGCUCACUGGACACGUGACGAGACAGCAGUGUUCAGAGUAGAUCUGCUGCUCUUCUCACUCGUGUCUCACACAGAGACUAACAGCACAUGAGCGACUCCUUCAUUCUCCACAUCCAGCUUCAGUUGCUCUCAGCGGCAUCUGCUCUGCUUUGUGUGCUUCACACAAGCCUACAUGUGCGACUUUAUUAAAAUAAUUGUUCAUUUGUUUCCCUUUUUGUUUCAUUUUAGUUUCUUGCCAUUCAUUGAAUCGGGUCUAGCUCAUUAAAAAAAUUAAAAUAAAAUAAAAACAAGUCAGUAGACCAUGAAAACACCUGCAUUUACACAA